rnacentral:rRNA from 1 species
GACGAACGCUGGCGGCGUGCUUAACACAUGCAAGUCGUACGGUAAGGCCCUUUCGGGGGUUCUCGAGUGGCGAACGGGUGCGUAACACGUGCGUAACCUUCCCACAACUUUGGGAUAACGCUAGGUAACUGGUGCUAAUACUGGAUAUGUGCUCCUGCUGCAUGGUGGGGGUUGGAAAGCUCCGGCGGUUGUGGAUGGACUUGCUGCCUAUCUGCUUGUUGGUGGGGUAGUGGCCUACCAAGGCGGCGACGGGUAGCCGGCCUGCGAGGGUGACCGGCCACAUUGGGACUGAGAUACGGCACAGACACCUACGGGAGGCAGCAGUGGGGAAGAUUGAACAAUGGGCGCAAGCCUGAUGCAGAAACGCCGCGGGCGGGAUGACGGCCUUAGGGUUGUAAACCGCUUUCAGCAGGGACGAAGCUUUUUGUGACGGUACCUGCAGAAGAAGCACCGGCUAACUACGUG